GAAAUGAUAGUUUGCAAUCAGAUUUAAGUGGAUCUGGAGAAAAUAAAGACACAUGAGCUUUCUUGCACACAUCUGAGCGUGUGUUAUGGACUUUCACUCCAGCUUCAGUUCAUUUCCCAGGGUUCUUGUUUUCCUGGGAAGCCACAAGUUCUAGUACUUUCUUCUCUCCUCAAAUGUAUUAUCCCAGACAAACAUUUGGCACAUUGAAUCUGUUUCUCCCUUCUCUUUCCCUGUCUUUAGACAGAAUAUUAUUCAACUCAAGCUAAAGUGAAAACACCAACGAUGCUUGAAGCCUCUUUUGGCCUUAGGUGUGAUUAGAGCCCUCAGUGACCAGGACCUUCAUAUUCACAUGAGGCUGGUUUUUAACAAAUGCUUUUGCAAGAAGCACAGGGUGUGCUGCGUGGAGGAAGUACAGUGACGAUGGGGCUCGUUCUUCUUGGAAUGAUCAAGAGCUUCUCGGCACCCCCGGAGCAGUGUGAGGCAGAGACCACAGCUCACAGUUGAUUCCAGUGCCUUGAUGUGACUCACUGGAAAGAUUCCACCGGGCCGCAGCACCAUUGUCCUUGGAAAUCAAGGGUCAUAUUUGCAGGUGUCGUUUUGAGCUUUCUAGCCUGUUCUGUUGGCCUGUUUUCCUUUCAUCCUUGUGCUACUGUCACGCUGGCUUAAUUCCCAAGCCUUUAUAAUAAAUCUUGGUAGAACAAGGUCCAGUAGAACAAGUCCUUCCGCCUCCAAGUUUCAUGGCUCCUCCAUCGCCAUAACUUUUAGAAUCAGGUUAAGUC
rnacentral:lncRNA from 1 species